rnacentral:rRNA from 1 species
CCUACGGGGGACAGCAGUGAGGAAUAUUGGUCAAUGGACGAGAGUCUGAACCAGCCAAGUAGCGUGAAGGAUGACGGCCCUAUGGGUUGUAAACUUCAUUUAUAGGGGAAUAAAAUGUGCCACGUGGGGGAUUUUGUAUGUACCAUAUGAAAAAGGAUCGGCUAACUCCGUGCCAGCAGCCGCGGUAAUACGGAGGAUCCGAGCGUUAUCCGGAUUUAUGGGGGUUAAAGGGGGCGUAGGUGGCUUGUUAAGUCAGUUGUGCAAGUUUGCGGCUCAACCGUAAAAUUGCAGUUGCAACGGGCAGUCUUGAGUCCAGUAGAGGUGGGCGUCAUUCGUGUUGUAGC